rnacentral:rRNA from 1 species
CCUACGGGAGGCAGCAGUGAGGAAUAUUGGUCAAUGGGCGUAAGCCUGAACCAGCCAAGUCGCGUGCAGGAUGAAGGUCCUACGGGUCGUACACUGCUUUUAUACGGGAAUAACGCGCCUUACGUGUAGGGCUUUGUAUGUACCGUAUGAAUAAGGACCGGCUAACUCCGUGCCAGCAGCCGCGGUAAUACGGAGGGUCCGGGCGUUAUCCGGAUUUAUUGGGUUUAAAGGGUGCGUAGGCGGCAUUUCAAGUCUGCGGUGAAAUUCCGGGGCUCAACCAUGGACUUGCCGUUGAAACUGGGGGGCUUGAGUCCGUGGGAAGCAGGCGGAAUUCGUGGUGUAGCGGUGAAAUGCUUAGAUAUGACGAAGAACCCCGAUUGCGAAGGCAGCUUGC